GUAGGUGGCAAGCGUUGUCCGGGAAUUAUUGGGGCGUAAAGCGCGCGCAGGCGGUUCUUUAAGUCUGAUGUGAAAGCCCACGGGCUCAACCGUGGAGGGUCAUUGGAAACUGGAGAACUUGAGUACAGAAGAGGAAAGCGGAAUUCCACGUGUAGCGGUGAAAUGCGUAGAGAUGUGGAGGAACACCAGUGGCGAAGGCGGCUUUCUGGUCUGUAACUGACGCUGAGGCGCGAAAGCGUGGGGAGCAAACAGGAUUAGAUACCUUGGUAGUCCACGCCGUAAACGAUGAGUGCUAAGUGUUAGGGGGUUUCCGCCCCUUAGUGCUGCAGCUAACGCAUUAAGCACUCCGCCUGGGGAGUACGGCCGCAAAGGCUGA
rnacentral:rRNA from 1 species